rnacentral:rRNA from 1 species
GACGAACGCUAGCGGCGUGCUUAACACAUGCAAGUCGAACGGAAAGGCCCUGCUUUUGUGGGGUGCUCGAGUGGCGAACGGGUGAGUAACACGUGAGUAACCUGCCCUUGACUUUGGGAUAACUUCAGGAAACUGGGGCUAAUACCGGAUAGGAGCUCCUGCUGCAUGGUGGGGGUUGGAAAGUUUCGGCGGUUGGGGAUGGACUCGCGGCUUAUCAGCUUGUUGGUGGGGUAGUGGCUUACCAAGGCUUUGACGGGUAGCCGGCCUGAGAGGGUGACCGGCCACAUUGGGACUGAGAUACGGCCCAGACUCCUACGGGAGGCAGCAGUGGGGAAUAUUGCACAAUGGGCGGAAGCCUGAUGCAGCAACGCCGCGUGCGGGAUGACGGCCUUCGGGUUGUAAACCGCUUUCGCCUGUAACGAAGCGUGAGUGACGGUAAUGGGUAAAGAAGCACCGGCUAACUACGUG